rnacentral:lncRNA from 1 species
GGUAAAGUUAGAUUAAAUGACUAAAAAAAAUUGGAUGCCGAUGUCUGGUGGAGAUUAGUCAAGUAGCACUGACGUAGAGGGAAGUCUAUGAUUACUCUGAUAAUCGUUCAAUUUUGUUGAUAUACCACUUCAAAAAAUAAGAAAUUAUGUCGAUUACAUUGAUAAAUUUUUUGAUUAAAUGGUACAAGUAACUAAUCUACCUCUGGUAAAGUUAGAUUAAAUAACAAAAAAAAAUAAAAAAUUGGAUGCCGAUGUCUGGUCGAGAUUAGUCAAGUAGCACUGGCGUAGAGGGAAGUCUAUGAUUACUCUGAUAAUCGUUCAAUUUCGCUAAUAUACCACUUGAGAAAAUAAGAAAUUAUGUUGAUUUCAUCGACAAAAAAGUUUGGUUAAAUGAUAGAAGUAACUAACCUACCUCUGGUAAAGUUAGAUUAAAU